UAAGCAGAACGUGAAAGCACACGGCUCAACCGUGUAAACAUUUUCUGAACUGAUUAACUAGAGGAUGAGAGAGGUUAUUGGAAUUUCUUGUGUAGGAGUGAAAUCCGUAGAUAUAAGAAGGAAUACCGAUGGCGUAGGCAGGUAACUGGCUCGCACCUGACACUAAGGCACGAAAGCGUGGGUAGCAAACGGGAUUAGAUACCCCGGUAGUCCACGCCGUAAACUAUGGAUGCUA
rnacentral:rRNA from 1 species